rnacentral:tRNA from 1 species
CGGGGCCAUAGCUCAGCUGGGAGAGCGCCUGCUUUGCACGCAGGAGGUCAGGAGUUCGAUCCUCCUUGGCUCCACCA